GACCUUUUCUUUGUAAGCUGGUAGGUUGAGAGUGGUGACCAUUUCCGUGGACAAAUUAUAGAUGGCGAACUGAUUCCGAUGAGAAACGUUCAAGCACUUGGGAACACUGUAAUCAAUCAUCUAAUUCUGUUUAGAGGAAAUUGAAGAGCGCCGACUGAAGUCACACAUCAAAAUUUUAACUCAUUCAGAUUCGAUUAAUUAGAAUGUUACAAAAGGACUAAAUACUUCACCUUCGUCAAUCCCGCGUAUGAAGUACACCACGACAAGAGAGAAGAAAUUGAAGUUCGACCAGCAGAGAAGAACCAUACAAGGGCGGCACCAACGAGCAGGCACACCGACGAGGACGAAACUGAAGCUCCAGCAGCGAAGAAGAGACAGCGGGCUGUGAUUUGGGGUUUUACUUUUAGACGGAUUUUUGUUUUUAUUAUUAUUAUCAAGUUUUUGGUUCUUGUACAUUUGCCAAACUAAAAUUAGAGUAAAAGAAAAUGUCAUGUCAUUUUAAAUGCUUAUACAAACGCCACUAAAAAAUUAAA